rnacentral:rRNA from 1 species
GCCCGGGGCGCCCCCUAAACAUGCAGGUCGAACGAUGAACCACUUCGGUGGGGAUUAGUGGCGAACGGGUGAGUAACACGUGGGCAAUCUGCCCUGCACUCUGGGACAAGCCCUGGAAACGGGGUCUAAUACCGGAUACUGAUCCUCGCAGGCAUCUGCGAGGUUCGAAAGCUCCGGCGGUGCAGGAUGAGCCCGUGGCCAAUCAGCUAGUUGGUGAGGUAACGGCUCACCAAGGCGACGACGGGUAGCCGGCCUGAGAGGGCGACCGGCCACACUGGGACUGAGACACGGCCCAGACUCCUACGGGAGGCAGCAGUGGGGAAUAUUGCACAAUGGGCGAAAGCCUGAUGCAGCGACGCCGCGUGAGGGAUGACGGCCUUCGGGUUGUAAACCUCUUUCAGCAGGGAAGAAGCGAAAGUGACGGUACCUGCAGAAGAAGCGCCGGCUAACUACGUGCCAGCAGCCGCGGUAAUACGUAGGGCGCAAGCGUUGUCCGGAAUUAUUGGGCGUAAAGAGCUCGUAGGCGGCUUGUCACGUCGGUUGUGAAAGCCCGGGGCUUAACCCCGGGUCUGCAGUCGAUACGGGCAGGCUAGAGUUCGGUAGGGGAGAUCGGAAUUCCUGGUGUAGCGGUGAAAUGCGCAGAUAUCAGGAGGAACACCGGUGGCGAAGGCGGAUCUCUGGGCCGAUACUGACGCUGAGGAGCGAAAGCGUGGGGAGCGAACAGGAUUAGAUACCCUGGGUAAGUCAA